rnacentral:rRNA from 1 species
UGGGGAAUAUUGCACAAUGGGCGCAAGCCUGAUGCAGCCAUGCCGCGUGUGUGAAGAAGGCCUUCGGGUUGUAAAGCACUUUCAGCGAGGAGGAAGGGUAGUGUGUUAAUAGCACAUUGCAUUGACGUUACUCGCAGAAGAAGCACCGGCUAACUCCGUGCCAGCAGCCGCGGUAAUACGGAGGGUGCAAGCGUUAAUCGGAAUUACUGGGCGUAAAGCGCACGCAGGCGGUUUGUUAAGUCAGAUGUGAAAUCCCCGCGCUUAACGUGGAACUGCAUU